CCAUCAAGCGUGUGGAGUUGGAUGACAAAGACGUUUUUCAUUAUGUAAGUCACCAAAGCUAAACAAGUCCAGUUAAAACUAACCAUAACAUUACUAAGAUUAACUAAAAUAGAUAUUAAAGGCUACAAGCACCAAAGAAAGUUGAUCUGGAAAGGCCUUGUUGACCUUAUUCCCAAUUAUUAAAGCCAUGUAAAUGCAAUACCAAUACAUUGGUGACCCUGCCUGUGAACACCUAGCUAAAGUAAUUUUCAGUGAUUUACUGUUUUCUACAUAUGGCUAAAAUCAAACUUUUAAUAUCCUAUAAUCUCAAAACCGAGUUUUACAGACAAGGUCACAUUUAUUAGAAAGAGGAUCUAAUACUUUCUUGUUUUCCAGCCUGGAUAUUGCAAACCGCUCCCUAUAGAGGUGGCGCUGAAGCUAAAAUGAAAAGAAGCCCCUGAAUGCCCUUAUGUCAUAAAAAUGUAUGACUGGUACGAGGAAGGCACCUGGGUCAUGCUUGUCCUCGAGUACCAAAGGGACUGGAAGGACUUGUAUUUUUAUAUCGAUAAGAAGGGAAUGAAGGAAGACAAAGCUUGCCGCCUUAUGCUUCAAUUAGUAAGAGCAGUUCAACACUGCUUGAAGCAUGAGGUGCUUCACAAUGAUAUCCAUUCUCAAAACAUCAUGGUGGAUGAAAGUGGUUUGCACCUGAAGUUAACAAACUUUAGGAUGGGUCGUCUAGUCAAAAGCACUGGCUACACAUCCAAACCACGUGAAAGUGAGAUGGAGUUUUUUAAUAACAUAGUGGAGCAUAGAAACUUGCUUUUAGUGACAUCAUGAUCAUGUGACCCUGUUACAAAAUUACUCAACACAAUGUUUUGCUUACAGGAGCUAAAUGUUGCAUUCCACCUGAGGCCUCAAGAGGUUGCAAUUCUUGGCCAUGCCAGCAACCGUCUGGGCCUUAGGUGUGGUGCUCUAUGAGAUGGUGCACGGAUUUCCACCCUUACAAUGAUUAGGCGUAGUUAGGAUUACGGGACGCAAUUUAACCAUGAAUGCCCGUGAUCUCAUUUGACGGUACCUGUACAUGAAUCCAGAUCAACGACUAACAAUCGAUCAGAUUUUAGCACACGACUGGUUUAAGUGCAUCAUAACACAUGUUCCGGCGACCCCAGCGGUUUUAAAUUAUCUUGUGCCAAAAGGUUCUGAAUCUUUUAAUGCUGAAUACGAGUAUAAAACGAGUAAAGAUUAUUUUCUUGGGAAAGGUGCCUAUGGCAGGGUCUAUAGAGGAACCCGUAAAGGUGAUGGCAAAUUGGUUGCCAUCAAGCGUGUGAGGCUACGUGAGGACGAAAGAUGUAUUUGUUAUGCUUUAAGGCUGGAUAUUCCAGACCACUUGUUACAGAGGUGGCCUUAAUGUUGAAGUUAAAAGAAGCUCGUGAAUGCUCCUAUGUUAUAAGAAUAAUUGACUGGUAUGAGGAACGCAAUUACCUCAUGUUUGUUCUGGAGUACCUAGACGAAUGGAUGCCCUUGCGUAAUUAUAUCUCUACACCUGGAAAACUGCCGGAAGAUAAAGCUCGCAGGCUCA